rnacentral:rRNA from 1 species
UUCUAGCUUGCUAGAAGAUGACGAGUGGCGGACGGGUGAGUAAUGCUUGGGAACUUGCCUUUGCGAGGGGGAUAACAGUUGGAAACGACUGCUAAUACCGCAUAAUGUCUUCGGACCAAACGGGGCUUAGGCUCCGGCGCAAAGAGAGGCCCAAGUGAGAUUAGCUAGUUGGUAAGGUAACGGCUUACCAAGGCGACGAUCUCUAGCUGUUCUGAGAGGAAGAUCAGCCACACUGGGACUGAGACACGGCCCAGACUCCUACGGGAGGCAGCAGUGGGGAAUAUUGCACAAUGGGGGAAACCCUGAUGCAGCCAUGCCGCGUGUGUGAAGAAGGCCUUCGGGUUGUAAAGCACUUUCAGUUGUGAGGAAAAGUUAGUAGUUAAUACCUGCUAGCCGUGACGUUAACAACAGAAGAAGCACCGGCUAACUCCGUGCCAGCAGCCGCGGUAAUACGGAGGGUGCGAGCGUUAAUCGGAAUUACUGGGCGUAAAGCGCACGCAGGCGGUUUGUUAAGCUAGAUGUGAAAGCCCCGGGCUCAACCUGGGAUGGUCAUUUAGAACUGGCAGACUAGAGUCUUGGAGAGGGGAGUGGAAUUCCAGGUGUAGCGGUGAAAUGCGUAGAUAUCUGGAGGAACAUCAGUGGCGAAGGCGACUCCCUGGCCAAAGACUGACGCUCAUGUG